rnacentral:rRNA from 1 species
CCAGUGAUAUUAAUUUUUAACGGCCGCGGUAUCCUGACCGUGCAAAGGUAGCAUAAUAAUUUGUCUCUUAAUUAGAGACUGGAAUGAAUGGAUAAACGAGAGCUUAACUGUGUCAAUAGUAUCAAUAAAAAUUAUCAUCUAGAUGAAGAGAUCUACAUUAUUAAAAAAGACAAAAAGACCCUAUUGAGCUUUACUUUUAUUUACUCCUAAUAUACUUAUAUAUUUAUACAAAAUCUAGAGUAAUCUAAAGUUUAGUUGGGGCGACUAAGGAAUUUAUAAUUCUUCCUUAUAAAAUAAGGUAUAUAAACCAAUAUAUUGAUCCUUUCCAAAGAAUAAAGACCUAGCUACCAUAGGGAUAACAGGCUAAUUUUUCUCGAAAGUUCAAAUUGACAGAAUAGAUUGGCACCUCGAUGUUGGCUUAGGAUUUCCUAUAGAUGCAGCAGUCUAUAAGGCAGGUUUGUUCAACCUUUAAUUUCCUACAUGAGCUGAGUUCAGACGG